rnacentral:rRNA from 1 species
GACGAACGCUGGCGGCGUGCUUAACACAUGCAAGUCGAACGGAAAGGCCCUGCUUUUGUGGGGUGCUCGAGUGGCGAACGGGUGAGUAACACGUGAGUAACCUGCCCUGUACGUUGUGAUAACUUCAGGAAACUGGUGCUAAUACCUGCUAGGAGCUCCUGCUGCAGGGUGGGGUUUGGAAAGUUUCGGCGGUUUGGGAUGGACUCGGGGCUUAUCAGCUGGUUGGGUGGGUAGUGGCUUACCAAGCCUUUGGCGGGUAGCCGGCCUGAGAGGGUGACCGGCCACAUUGGGACUGCGAUACGGAGCAGACUGCUACGGGAGGCAGCAGUCGGGAAUAUUGCACAAUGGGCGGAAGCCUGAUGAAGCAACGCCGCGUGCGGGAUGACGGCCUUCGGGUUGUAAACCGCUUUAGCCUGUGACGCAGCGUGAGUGACGGUAAUGGGUAAAGAAGCACCGGCUAACUACGUG